ensembl:snRNA U2 U2 spliceosomal RNA
AUCGCUUCUCGGCCUUUUGGCUAAGAUCAAGUGUAGUCUCUGUUCUUAUCAUUUUUAUAUCUGAUACGUCCUCUACCCGAGGACUAUAUAUUAAAAGGAUUUUUGGAACAGGGAGUCGGAAGAGGGGCUUGCUCUGUCCGCUCCACGCAUCGACCCGGUAUUGCAGUGCCACUGGGAAAGGUGCACUCCUA